rnacentral:snRNA from 1 species
ACCGAUGAUGAUUAUUGCGA